UACGUAGGGUGCAAGCGUUGUCCGGAAUUAUUGGGCGUAAAGAGCUCGUAGGCGGUUUGUCGCGUCGGCUGUGAAAACUCGGGGCUCAACCCCGAGCCUGCAGUCGAUACGGGCAGACUAGAGUGCGGUAGGGGAGACUGGAAUUCCUGGUGUAGCGGUGAAAUGCGCAGAUAUCAGGAGGAACACCGGUGGCGAAGGCGGGUCUCUGGGCCGAAACUGACGCUGAGGAGCGAAAGCGUGGGGAGCAAACAGG
rnacentral:rRNA from 1 species